rnacentral:rRNA from 1 species
GGGGAAUUUUGGACAAUGGGCGCAAGCCUGAUCCAGCCAUGCCGCGUGCGGGAAGAAGGCCUUCGGGUUGUAAACCGCUUUUAGUCGGGAAGAAAAGGCGCGGGUGAAUACCCCGCGUUUUUGACGGUACCGGCGGAAUAAGCACCGGCUACCUACGUGCCAUCAGCCGCGGUAAUAUGUAGGGUGCGAGCGUUAAUCGGAAUUACUGGGCGUAAAGGGCGCGUAGGCGGCCUGCUAAGUCGAACGUGAAAUCCCCGGGCUCAACCCGGGAACUGCGUCCGAUACUGGCAGGCUUGAAUCCGGGAGAGGGAUGUGGAAUUCCAGGUGUAGCGGUGAAAUGCGUAGAUAUCUGGAGGAACACCGGUGGCGAAGGCGGCAUCCUGGACCGGUAUUGACGCUGAUGCGCGAAAGCCAGGGGAGCAAAC